rnacentral:lncRNA from 1 species
CUCUCCUGAGCAACUGGCUGUGCUCUGUCUCACUUCACACAUGCCGCACACAUGGCACGCACACGCACGGCACGCACACGCAUGAUGCACACACACAGACGUGAGCAGUGCUCUGAGGUUUCAUUCACUCAGUUCUUGGCUCUGCAAUUCUAAUGACCGACCUGUCUUCACCCUGUGGUGGCUCUUUUUGGAACUGGCUUCCCAAGAAGUUACUGGAAAUGUGUCUAAGGGACUCUUCUGAGCUGGCCACUUGGACUGGAAAGCACAGCAGCUGGAGGCCUGGCAAGGCCGCCUGGUCAUCUACCCUUUGCUUCGAGACCCGCCCCACUGCCAUUGUUGAAGUGUAAUGGAAACAGAAGUGGCCUGAUGGCAGGCAGAGGUGGCUCUGCUGUGACAGGGGCCUCCAAGAAGUCCAGGUCAGAGGGCUUAGUCUGCACCUUGUCCCCUCCCAUGUGAGUCAUGAGCCAGGGUGUGCUCCAGGGCCCUGUACCCACAAUACCUAUCUCCACUUCUUCCCUGUCUCCUGCCCUCGCCAGCCCCACCUAGUGGUCACCUGGCUCUCUCCUUUUUAAAGAAUCUAUUUUGUCAAGCGUUUUAUUUUGACAUGAAGAUUGACUUGUCCACUUGCUGGAUCAGAUUUUCUUGGGGCCCAUACACCGGCACCAACUGUGGUUUCUCAUCUGCCUUUGUGUUCAGACCCUGCGCCUGCCUCCUGAGUACCCACUGCCGGGCUAUGCGGAUCCAACAGUCCUACCUCAAAGCUCUUGCUCAUGGGCCGCAGGGCCGCCUGGCUUGCCGUCCUGCCAUGUGGCUGCGGAGGCCAGCUGCGUGGUGCCCUCAAGAGCUGCUUGGUGCUGUUCCAGCCUCCACAUGGCCUGCAGCCACCCUUUGUGGAGGCCUAGGUCUGGCCUCCUCACCCUCUUCCUGGAGUGCUUUCUGGCUCUGCUUCUGGGCCAGAGCCCCAUCCAGAGCCUCGAGGCAAUGCACAAGACCUGAGCUCUGUGUCCAAGGCUGCUCAGCUGCCUCCUCAGUCUCCAUUUUCCUUCAGCGUUGGCUGGUGGCCCCAGCGUGGAGCUUGGGGCAGGUACCUAAGACUAAAGAAUGCAGAGAAGUGCAGCCUUCCUGGGCUUAACAACUCAGGGGGGCCUGCAGCCAGGCCAGAGGAGAUGCGGAAAUGCAGAAUGGCAUGCCCAUACCUGCAGGUGGCCUACUCCUCUCCUGCCCGGGGAUCAAACCCAGGGUGCAGAGCAUGCGAGGCCAGUGUUCUACCACUGAGCUAUACCCCAGCCCUCCAGGUAGUAUCUUUAAGAAGACAUUUUCUGAA